rnacentral:rRNA from 1 species
GGCGGACGGGUGAGUAACGCGUGAGUAACCUGCCUCUUAGUGGGGAAUAACGUUCUGAAAAGAACGCUAAUACCGCAUAAUAUUACGAAGUCGCAUGGCUUUUGUAAUCAAAGGAUUUAUUCGCUAAGAGAUGGACUCGCGUCCGAUUAGAUAGUUGGUGAGGUAACGGCCCACCAAGUCGACGAUCGGUAGCCGGGCUGAGAGGCUGAACGGCCACAUCGGGACUGAGACACGGCCCAGACUCCUACGGGAGGCAGCAUG